CUUAAAUUGAAGAGUUUGAUCAUGGCUCAGAUUGAACGCUGGCGGCAGGCCUAACACAUGCAAGCCGAACGGAAACGAAUCACCUGCACCUUCGGGGUACGAUAACGCCGUCGAACGGCGGACGGGUGAGCGAUGCCGGGUCGAAUGCCCU
rnacentral:rRNA from 1 species